UGAAGAUUAACUGGAAAGCGGCGGACGGGUGAGUAACGCGUGGGCAACCUGCCCUGUGCAGAGGGAUAGCCACUGGAAACGGUGAUUAAUACCUCAUAAUGCUAAAGUAUCGCAUGGUACUUUAGUCAAAGAUUUAUCGGCACAGGAUGGGCCCGCGUCUGAUUAGCUAGUUGGUAAGGUAAAAGCUUACCAAGGCGACGAUCAGUAGCCGACCUGAGAGGGUGAUCGGCCACACUGGAACUGAGACACGGUCCAGACUCCUACGGGAGGCAGCAGUGGGGAAUAUUGCACAAUGGGCGCAAGCCUGAUGCAGCAACGCCGCGUGAGUGAUGAAGGCUUUCGGGUCGUAAAACUCUGUCCUCAGGGAAGAAUAAUGACGGUACCUGAGGAGGAAGCCCCGGCUAACUACGUGCCAGCAGCCGCGGUAAUACGUAGGGGGCGAGCGUUAUCCGGAAUCAUUGGGCGUAAAGGGUGUGUAGGCGGUUUGUUAAGCGAGAGGUGAAAGGCUAUGGCUCAACCAUAGUAAGCCUUUCGAACUGGCAAACUUGAGUGCAGGAGAGGAGAGCGGAAUUCCUAGUGUAGCGGUGAAAUGCGUAGAUAUUAGGAGGAACACCAGUGGCGAAGGCGGCUCUCUGGACUGCAACUGACGCUGAGGCACGAAAGCGUGGGGAGCAAACAGGAUUAGAUACCCCUGGUAGUCCACGCCGUAAACGAUGAAUGCUAGGUGUCGGGGGUCAAACCUCGGUGCCGGAGUUAACGCAAUAAGCAUUCCGCCUGGGGAGUACGAUCGCAAGAUUGAAACUCAAAGGAAUUGACGGGGGACCCGCACAAGCAGCGGAGCAUGUGGGUUUAAUUCGAAGCAACGCGAAGAACCUUACCAGAACUUGACAUACCAAUGACCAAUCCGUAAU
rnacentral:rRNA from 1 species